GGCAGGACAGUGUUCAGCUAUGACCCUGCAAGGUCAGCCCUGGAUCUUCUGCUGGGCCAGGUAUUGCCAGCUCUCUGAGAGAAUUUCUCAUUUUGGUGGCCCUGUUCUCUGCCCUCAGGCCAGAGGCCAUACAGGAUGUACGUGAUACUGACACAUGUGCUCACCCUGUGCAUUCUACAAGAUGGCAGUGUACCAGGGUGCCAGGGAAUUUAGCUCUGGUUAUCUACAAAAGGGGAGCAGUGUCAGAGGAAGGCUAUGUGAAAGAUGCUGUCAUCAACGGGACCAGCAAGGUGGUGGAAACGUCACAGGACAGGCGCUUUGUUGUUUGGGAGUGUGGUGGUUCUCCAGCGUGGCCCAGGAAUGAGAAAUGGAACAAAAACGUGGCUUGAUGGAAAGAACGCCUGUGCCCAGGGUGGUGGGAGUGUGCGCUCAUAUGCAGGGCCCUUCACCUUGGAGCUGCGAGCGAGGCAGCACUGCCACAGAGCCAGGCGAGUGGAGUCACAGUGCCCAGGUGGGCCAGGUGGGCAUUCCCUCACUGGUUUCUGGAAAGUGGCCUGGUAAGGUGCUAUUUUAGCCUUAAAUAUGGGCAUUCUCUUUGACCCUAAGAAAUGGUUUCUAGAAAUGAUUCAUGAAAACAUGAUCUAGGAUUUCGGUACAGGAACGAUCAUUUCAAGACGAUGCAUAAUGUAGUAAAAACAACUUAUGCAGCCAACAUAAAUAGACUAAGAAAAUUUUGACUAACCCAGAUUGUUACGGGUUGUGUCCUCUCCCCAAAUUCUUGCCCCUAGUAUCUCAGAAUGUGGGCUGAGCUGCAAACAGCGUUGUUGUAAUGAUGUAAUCUGUUAAGAUGAGGCCAUCAGGGUGGGCCCAAAUCCAGUACAACUCAAUUGGGCUGCAGCAACUACCGGGAGCAGGAGGCCUGUAGCAGACCUUGCCUCACAGCCCCCAGAAGAAAGCAAUCCUGCGCACACCUCAACCCCAUACUUGUGGUCUUCAGA